GAUGAACGCUAGCGGCAGGCUUAAUACAUGCAAGUCGUGGGGCAGCAUGGGGUAGCAAUACUCUGAUGGCGACCGGCAAACGGGUGCGGAACACGUACGCAACCUUCCCAAAACUGGUGAAUAGCCCUCCGAAAGGAGGAUUAAUACACCGUAACAUAACGAAGUGGCAUCACUUUGUUAUUAUAGCUCCGGCGGUUUUGGAUGGGCGUGCGCCUGAUUAGGUAGUUGGCGGGGUAACGGCCCACCAAGCCUACGAUCAGUAACUGGUGUGAGAGCACGACCAGUCACACGGGCACUGAGACACGGGCCCGACUCCUACGGGAGGCAGCAGUAAGGAAUAUUGGUCAAUGGACGCAAGUCUGAACCAGCCAUGCCGCGUGAAGGAUGAAGGUCCUCUGGAUUGUAAACUUCUUUUAUCUGGGACGAAAAAAGGGCUUUCUAGCUCACUUGACGGUACCAGAGGAAUAAGCACCGGCUAACUCCGUGCCAGCAGCCGCGGUAAUGCUACG
rnacentral:rRNA from 1 species